GCCUUCUUGGCUCAGUUGGCAGAGCGUCUGCCUAGUAAGCAGAAGGUCAACAGUUCGAUUCUGUUAGCAGGCA
rfam:Mucor circinelloides f. lusitanicus CBS 277.49 MTCCIscaffold_05, whole genome shotgun sequence.